rnacentral:rRNA from 1 species
GAUGAACGCUAGCGGCAGGCUUAAUACAUGCAAGUCGAGGGGCAGCAUGAAUGUAGCAAUACAUUUGAUGGCGACCGGCAAACGGGUGCGGAACACGUACACAACCUUCCUAUAAGUGGGGAAUAGCCCAGAGAAAUUUGGAUUAAUACCCCGUAACAUAAUGAUGUGGCAUCACAUUAUUAUUAUAGCUUCGGCGCUUAUUGAUGGGUGUGCGGCUGAUUAGAUAGUUGGCGGGGUAACGGCCCACCAAGUCUACGAUCAGUAGCUGAUGUGAGAGCAUGAUCAGCCACACGGGCACUGAGACACGGGCCCGACUCCUACGGGAGGCAGCAGUAAGGAAUAUUGGUCAAUGGACGCAAGUCUGAACCAGCCAUGCCGCGUGAAGGAUUAAGGUCCUCUGGAUUGUAAACUUCUUUUAUCUGGGGCGAAAAAAGGCUAUUCUUAGUCACUUGACGGUACCAGAUGAAUAAGCACCGGCUAACUCCGUGCCAGCCGCCGCCGUAAUAC